rnacentral:rRNA from 1 species
UCAGAGGGGCUCUGGCGUCGUACACCCUGUGACAUACCACUUGUUGCCUCGGCGGAUCAGCCCGCUCCCGGUAAAACGGGACGGCCCGCCAGAGGACCCCUAAACUCUGUUUCUAUAUGUAACUUCUGAGUAAAACCAUAAAUAAAUCAAAACUUUCAACAACGGAUCUCUUGGUUCUGGCAUCGAUGAAGAACGCAGCAAAAUGCGAUAAGUAAUGUGAAUUGCAGAAUUCAGUGAAUCAUCGAAUCUUUGAACGCACAUUGCGCCCGCCAGUAUUCUGGCGGGCAUGCCUGUUCGAGCGUCAUUUCAACCCUCAAGCACAGCUUGGUGUUGGGACUCGCGUUAAUUCGCGUUCCCCAAAUUGAUUGGCGGUCACGUCGAGCUUCCAUAGCGUAGUAGUAAAACCCUCGUUACUGGUAAUCGUCGCGGCCACGCCGUUAAACCCCAACUUCUGAAUGUUGACCUCGGAUCAGGUAGGAAUACCCGCUGAACUUAAGCAUAUCAAUAAGCGGAGGAA